UAUCCUCCCUUCAUCCCUUCCAGCCGCCUCAUUUGGACAAGGUGCUCUGUUUUGUGGAUUCUCCCAAAAAGAGCAUCUUGUCCAUAGAGGCUGUUGGCAAAGAUCUUUACAGGGAAAU
rnacentral:precursor_RNA from 12 species